GAUGAGCUUGCUGCUCUGUUUCUGGACGAUCGCCUGGAUCCAGAUUUCAUGCCUGUGCCCGAGGGACAACCCAGAGGCCCUGCUGGCGAAUCAGCAGAACGGAAUCCUGUCCAUGAGCCCGAGGGGAAUGCUGGAGGUCAGUAAGGAAGAGAGAGGUGGGCGCACGCAGUGGGAACGUUUCUCACCUGUCCUUGAUGACAGCCGUGUCUCCAGGCAGUGGCUUACCGAAGCCCAG